CUAUGCCGGCAAGUUAUAAUAUUUUAAAUAUGGAAUAAGAAUAAGAAUAGCCUGCCUUUAUUAAACUCGAGCAUCAACAGAUGAAUGAUAAAUGCACUGGCUCACACAAACAAGCCCCGUUAAACGCACAAGCGCGCACAAAAGGGAGAUAAGCAUAUUGAAAUGAAUUAUUCACAUUGCAAGAACGGAAUGAAAUGGCCUACACAUCACACACGCUAUGCAUCUGAUAUGCCUAAAUAAAACUCACGUUAUAUGCUACACCAGAAGAGGCACGAAUAAAACAAGUCUUACCAUUGAAGAUCAUCUUUUUUCUUGAAAAAUGUAAGUACACGGACACAUUCGUUAUAAAAGUAUCUACAUAGUCCAACCAUCGAUGUUUAAUCCAUGUUGUGGAGAAAGAGGAUAACAUCAAUCAUAUUUCAUUAAAGCUUCACACUUCUUACAUUGGACAUAUCAAACAGCCUCAUUAGAAUCCGCAUAGACUAUGAUGCCAUCCGACAGAAAUAUCUCCAUAGGCCUACAGUAAAUUUCCCCUCGAGUGUCGUUUUAAACUCUCCAGAUGACAGUUUCUUUUUGAAAAAAAACUUUAAGUGCACAAAGUUCGUUAUAAAACAAUCUACAUAGUCCAACAAUCGAGGUUUAAUCCAUUGAAUCCGCAUUGACUACUAAGCAGAAAUAUCUCCAUACAGAUUACCCCUCGUUUUGUAUUGUUUUAAAUUCUCCAGAUGACAGUUCUUUUUAACUUCUUCCAUGUUACCAAUUUGCCUCCUGUAAUCGUGUUGUCACAGCUAGGACAUAAACAAAUUCCCGCACACAGGAAGAAGGCUAUUAUCCUAAAUGUGAUUUAUUUUACUCUCAAAAACGAACUUCUCCAUCAUUACAUUUACAUUUACAUUUAGUCAUUUAGCCGACGCUUUUGUACAGGGGAGAAGCAUGUGAAGCAAACACGUUUACUUGACUACUUAUUAAGAUAUUUAAAUAUGGAAUGUUCAAUGCCUUAUCACGCUUAUGUUUGAAAGCCAUUGUUUUCGGCUUGCAGGUGCUUUUGCCUCUGGCCCAGUUUGUCGGUUUUGACGUUCAUCUCUCUCCCCCAACCAUCCAGGUUUAAUCCAUAGAAUCCGCGUUGACUACUAAGCAGAAAUAUCUCCAUACAGUAGAUUCCCCCUCGUUUUGUAUUGUUUUAAACUCUCCAGAUGACAGUUUAUUUUUAACUUCUUCCCUGAUACCAGUUUGCCUCCUGUAAUCACGUUGUCACAGAUAUUUAUUUGCCCAGUCAGCUUGUUGGUCUUGACGUUCAG
ensembl:lncRNA